rnacentral:rRNA from 1 species
UAGCAAUACCAAGCGAAGCUAGUGGCGAACGGGUGCGUAACACAUGAGUCAUCUGCCCAGAAGUGGGGAAUAGCUCGGCGAAAGCCGGAUUAAUACCGCAUGUGGUCGUAAGACCAAAGCCGGGGCAACCUGGCGCUUUUGGAGGAGCUCGUGGCCUAUCAGCUAGUUGGUGAGGUAACGGCUUACCAAGGCAACGACGGGUAGCUGGUCUGAGAGGACGACCAGCCACACUGGAACUGAGAUACGGUCCAGACACCUACGGGUGGCAGCAGUCGAGAAUUUUUCUCAAUGGGGGAAACCCUGAAGGAGCGACGCCGCGUGGAGGAUGAAUGCUUUCGGGUUGUAAACUCCUGUCAUUUGGGAACAAGGCCUUACGUUAACUGCGUGGAGGAUUGAUAGUACCAGAAGAGGAAGAGACGGCUAACUCUGUGCCAGCAGCCGCGGUAAUACAGAGGUCUCGAGCGUUGUUCGGAUUCAUUGGGCGUAAAGGGCGCGUAGGCGGCGGGGUAAGUCUGGUGUGAAAUCUAGGAGCUCAACUCCUAAACUGCACUGGAUACUGCUCUGCUAGAGGACUGGAGAGGAGACUGGAAUUCACGGUGUAGCA